rnacentral:rRNA from 1 species
CCACACCAUGGGAGGUUGGAUUCACCCGAAGGCAGUGCGCUAACUCGCAAGAGAGGCAGCUGACCACGGUGGGAUCAGCGACUGGGGUG